GCAGCCUGAUGCAGCAACGCCGCGUGAGGGACGACGGCCUUCGGGUUGUAAACCUCUUUUAGUAGGGAAGAAGCGAAAGUGACGGUACCUGCAGAAAAAGCACCGGCUAACUACGUGCCAGCAGCCGCGGUAAUACGUAGGGUGCAAGCGUUAUCCGGAAUUAUUGGGCGUAAAGAGCUCGUAGGCGGUUUGUCGCGUCUGCUGUGAAAACUGGAGGCUCAACCUCCAGCCUGCAGUGGGUACGGGCAGACUAGAGUGCGGUAGGGGAGAUUGGAAUUCCUGGUGUAGCGGUGGAAUGCGCAGAUAUCAGGAGGAACACCGAUGGCGAAGGCAGAUCUCUGGGCCGUAACUGACGCUGAGGAGCGAAAGCAUGGGGAGCGAACAGGAUUAGAUACCCUGGUAGUCCAUGCCGUAAACGUUGGGAACUAGAUGUAGGGACCAUUCCACGGUUUCUGUGUCGCAGCUAACGCAUUAAGUUCCCCGCCUGGGGAGUACGGCCGCAAGGCUAAAACUCAAAGGAAUUGACGGGGGCCCGCACAAGCGGCGGAGCAUGCGGAUUAAUUCGAUGCAACGCGAAGAACCUUACCAAGGCUUGACAUAUACGAGAACGGGCUAGAAAUAGUCAACUCUUUGGACACUC
rnacentral:rRNA from 1 species